CAGCCGCCACGGUAAAACGUAGGGUGCAAGCGUUAAUCGGAAUUACUGGGCGUAAAGCGUGCGCAGGCGGUUAUAUAAGACAGAUGUGAAAUCCCCGGGCUCAACCUGGGAACUGCAUUUGUGACUGUAUAGCUAGAGUACGGCAGAGGGGGAUGGAAUUCCGCGUGUAGCAGUGAAAUGCGUAGAUAUGCGGAGGAACACCGAUGGCGAAGGCAAUCCCCUGGGCCUGUACUGACGCUCAUGCACGAAAGCGUGGGGAGCAAACAGGAUUAGAUACCCCCGUAGUCCCUGUCUCUUAUAC
rnacentral:rRNA from 1 species